GGGUACUAUUGAUUGACACUAAUGAAGUUGAAUCAGGCUUAAUUGAGUUGGCGGUCGUCCAGUCCGUCACCCUCCCUCCCUUGCACCCCUCCACCCCUCCUCCCCCAUCCCCUGUGGAGCUGCUGUCACAUCUCUUCACACACUGACGAAUAAAUUAAAAGGGCUGUCCCGCGUCAAUCAAAAACGUAACGCCAUUGAAACACCUCAACCGACGUCGUUAAGCGUGCUGUAUUUACUGCACGCGGACAUGGGUGUGGACGGUUUUAAGCAGACACUCUAAUCCAGAGCGAUUUACAAUAAGUCAGUUUGUCAGAAGAAAGAGAAACAACAAUCUUUCGCUGUCGGUACAGUAAGGAUGUUCAUAGAACCAGGUAACACGCACUAACAAGCACUAGUUUAAACCCAGAGAAAACUCAGAUAGCCAGGAUAAGACUCUACAGUUUCUCAACGGGGGUGUUCGCACAACCUAGGGGGCGCUGGGAACGUGAUUUUUCUUUCAUUUUUUGGGGGGAUUUUAACUUAUAUGGUUUCGGUGAAAAAAUAGGCUACCUGAAAUAAAUAGCCUAUUAUCAUUUAUUGGUUUAUAACCCCUCUACCGUCUCGGCUACUUUUUAAUGUCUAUGAGCAGUGUAACAGUGGUCAUACAGCGCGGUUCGGUACUGCACACGCCCGGACUCCCAUUACAUCAGCUAUCGUCAUGAUCUCUAUCGCUGAUAAACAUAACCCAAGUUCGCGGGUUAACAGUUCAAUAACCAACGCAACACAAUCAAACAUGGGCGAUAGCAAAAAAAAACGACCUAAUUUCGUUUCAUAGCCCGUUUCCCUCCUUCCUCUUGCUGUUGUUAGGUUCCAGCUGCUCUGAGCGUAGUCUCCACAAAAAGACUGUGUCAUUCCAAAUACAAAAUAUAAAGGCCUAAUUAGGCCUCUGCGCGCAAUCUGUUUUCGCGGUGCCCGCGUUGCCUGGGUUGCCCGGGUCACGGUGCCCGUGGUUCCAGGGCUGCGGUGCCCGCGUUGCCUGGGCCGCUGUCACGGUGCCCGCGGUUCCCGGGCUAUUCAUUCAUUGACGGGGCACGGCGGGAGACGCGGGAGUGCCGUGCCUGCGGUUCUCGGGCUGGUGUCACGGUGCCCGCAGUUCCAGGGCCAUUCAUUCAUUCACGGGGAGUGCCGUGGCCGUGCUCGCACUCACGGUGCCCGCGGUUCCCGGGCCGCGGUGCCCACGGUUCCCGGGCCAUUCAUUCGUUCGUUCACAGGGCGCGGCGGGAGACGCGGGAGUGCCGUGGCCACGGCUGCGGUGCUCGCGUUGCACAAGGUCACGGUGCCGGGCCGCUGGGUGCCGCGGCCGGGGCACAAGGGGAGACUUGGCAGCCAGGAGUCGCGUGAGUGCCCGCACCGCGGUCACGGUGAAUACGUUGUAUCCGGUGCCGCAGACACACUCAUGGGAAGGUCAGAACAGGAAACGGCGUUGCGUUAGACCACUAUAAAGCUUAAACACAGGAUCCUCUCUCAGCCUGCGCUGUGGUGCAGGCGGCCAAUUUCGUCCCUGGCAGUUGAACCCGUUCCACCAAUGUGGAUCUCCCAGAUGAUUGCCUCAUCCAAUCAAAAGUUUGUCGAGGAUCACAUGACUGAAUGCUUGCGCUCUGGGCUGGUUUGACGUUUCCUCCCAAGGCUUUGCCCCAUAGUUGUGUCGCCAACUUGCAAAGUCGACCUAGGAACCAUGGAAUGGUAAGUUUACGCACGCAAUUUGACAAGUGUCGCUUGUGAAUGUUGUGUCCGUGCGUAAUACGCGUAUUUGCGCACUGAGCAUGCAUAGUGGCUAACAGCAGUAUGUAUUUCACGCACCCUGUUAGUCUGCGUGCAAAGCAAACAAAAACCGAAACCUCUUUUAAUACUGCUUUCACCCCAUAACCUUCUUCCCUUCCCUCCCCUUCCUACUUUCUUAUCUUUUGUCUAAUAUACGUUCUUAUUAUUUUAUUUUGUGUUCACUCUGUAUAUUAUGACUAUAAUAAUAAUAAUAAUAGGCUACUAUAAUAAUGCAUGACAUAUUCUUUUUUAUUGCUAAUUAGAAUAAGAAUAAGGCAGAAACCAACAGCUAAUGCAGAACCAAUAAUAAAAAUAAUCAAGACAUUUGAGAACCACUGAUCUAAACAACCUGGGGGGUAUUCCAUCAACCAAGCUAAAGGCAAAGCCGGGCUUAUUUCGCUUAGCCUCACUACUUUAAGCUAGAGUUGCGUUCCAUCAACGUGACUUAAGGGAAUCUCCGCUAAGUAACCAUGGCAAUUUAUCCAACCAAAUGAACCAGUGGGGUAUACUACUUCUUGUAAUAAAACAAUUCAAAUACUUGAAUAAUUAUGCUUUUUCUUAUGGGUAUUGCCAUCUUAUUAAAUGUAUACUCUGUUUGAGUUCAUCUCCCUCAAAAAUUAGUCCCCUUUAAUUACGAUCGAUCAAACAUGUUUUUUGACACCUCAAAGGGCAUUAUCCAUGGUCACUUGCCAAGGAAAAUAAAUUAAGAUCAUUCAUUUUAUAUUUCCAUGCGUUUUACUAUCCAAAUAUAAAGUUUGUCACAUAAAUAGGACAGACCGUAGCUACGACUGGACAACGGGAGGUAUUCCAGUCCGCUGAGCUAUGAGCCAGAGAGCUUACGUUAUGGAUUGUACAUAUUUAUAAUUCAAAAUUCUUCCCAGCCUUUAUACCACAUAUACUCUAGUCUAGGGUCUAUAGUAUAUAACCGCGUUGUCUGAUUACAGUUUAAUUCAUUUUCCACAACUUACCAGCUCUCGUUUUGAAGAAUAAUAGAAUAAUCACAGCGCCAUUCGUUUCAAUGGAAAUCGCGACGGUCUAUACUUUCAACAUAAAGUCUACAUAUAUAUAAUUCGAAAUUCGUCCCAGCCUUUAUACCACAGAUACUCUAGAGUGUAUAAAGAACUGGUGAGAUGACAGAGCCCUGUGGAGCACCUGUAGAGAUCCUUCUGGAUGAGCUAAGGUGGCCGUUAACUAUCACUCUCUGGUGUCUGUCUGUCUGUCAGGAAUGAGAGGACCCAGAGUAUGAGGUGGGGAUUGACAUCCAUCUGGCUUAGUUUUUGUCCCAUUAGAUGGGGUUGCACAGUGUUAAAGGCACUUGAGAAGUCUAUGAACACCAGCCGCAGAAAUGACUUGGGCUUCUCAAGGUGGGUGUAAGCUCUGUGCAGCAGCGUUAUUGUGGCGUCGUCUACCCCUCUGUGACGUUUGUACGCAAACUGAAGCGGGUCAGCAUACUUACUGACCUCUGCCUGUAAUUGUGUGAGAAUUAGCCUCUCAAAGCCUUUCAUGACCAGGGAUGUUAAGGCCACAGGUCGAUAGUCAUUAUCACAGGUUGGUUUACUCUUUUUGGGCACAGGGCAUAUGAUGGAAGUCUUCCAGACUGAGGGGAUAGAGUGUUCCGCCAGGGAGCGGUUAAAAAGGUGGCAGUAGACACCAGUAAGCUGGUUGCUGCGGGCCUUCAGCAAGCGGCCACAGAUCUGGUCUGGCCCUGGUGCUUUAUUUGGCUUCAUCCUUCUCAACAAAGACAUAGCUGAACAGGAAGUUAAUGACUCCAUUUAGUUGUAAACCUAUGUAAAGUUGUUCUUAUUUAUAACCAAACAUCUGGAUUAAGUCAAGCAGACAUCUCGACGUCGCGAAAGAAUGCGAUCAUACGAGUGGGCGGACCGCGAGUGUAUUUACAAGUGACAUCGCCCGGGAACCCGGAUAUACGAGCGCAUCAAUGAAAACAAAGAAACAAAAAUACAAAACUGUGAGACCAAGGAUGAAUGUGCCCUGCCCUAUUGAGGAGUGUGACUAUGUGGCUACACAUGCUGAAUCAGCAGUGGUGGUGGCCAUGACGAACAUACACACGACCAUGCACGCUGCAGCCCCUAGGGAACCGCGCGCAAAUGCCAAAAUGGAGAAACUCAGGCGCCCGUCCAUAGCGUUGGCUGGAACAGCCGAGACCUGGUCAUACUUCCUAACCCGCUGGGGUGAGUACAAGAGGGGCACUAAACUAAUUGGAUCAGAUGUUGUCACACAACUGCUAUAUUGCUGUGAGGAGGAUCUGUGAAAAGACCUCACCCGUGCUGCAGGCAAAAGCCUAGUGGACAGUAAUGAAAAGGACGUUCUCUCUGCCAUGAGGGCACUCGUUGUCCGUGCAGAAAACACAAUGGUAGCUCGAGUGGCCCUAUCUAACAUGCGACAGAGACACGAAGAGCCCAUCCGAUCAUUUCAUGCUCGCUUAAAGGAAGUGUAAAUACGAAAUGACAUGCACUAAGGAUGGGUGUGACCAAGUCAACAACUUCACAGAGGAAAUAUUGCGCGCGAUGUGAUCGCCCGCAGCAUAGCAGACCAAGAAAUACAGCUCAAUCUGCUUGGCGAAAAGAAUCAGGAUAUGCCACUAAAGGUCAUGAUAGAGUAAAUCAAAGCCAAAGAGUCAGGAAAGCUCUCAGCGUCACGCCUGCUUGACUCUCAGAGCACGGACACUUUCAGCAGCUCAUAUCGACGGGGGAAGCAGCAGGACGUCCGCGCCAGGGCGAGCGCCAGAGCGGAGAAACCCAAGGUCAAGGCCGAGGGGACGUGCAUCUACUGCGGCGAGGCAGGCCACAGCAAAACACCUCAGUGGCACGCCAGGCGCGCCGAGUGCCCCGCGUACGGCAAGACGUGCUGGAAAGGCAGCCGUCAGAACCACCUUGACAAGGUCUGUCUGGGUGGCCGUUCAUCUCUGGGCCGCGUCGUCAGGUUCGCUGGUAACAGCAGCGACGCCCGAAGAAUGGAGACGCGCCAGAUGGCAUACGUGACUGACACCUCAGACCGUAUAUUCCUGUCUCGUGCAGCCUGUGUGGACCUGGGCAUGAUCUCAGACAGGUUCCCAACACUCGGGGAGGUCAACCUCGCGACCUCAGGCCCAUGUGACGGUUACUCACGGCGCUAUGAUGAGGUGGUUGCGGACAUCAGCAACAAGACCAAGUGUGUGGACGACACACUCCUGUGGGCUGAUACAGUUGAAGAGAGCUACUUCCAGGCGGCACAAUGGUUGGACGUUUGUGGUAGGAAUGGCAUCAUCCUCAACCCGGAUAAAUUUGUCUUCGCCGCACCCUCGGUGGACUUUGCGGGCUUCACAAUCACGAUGUCCGAAGUACGGCCAUGCAGCCAUUACCUGAAGGCUAUCCGAGCCUUCCGCGACCCCGCAAUGUCACUGACGUCAUGUCCUGGUUCGGACUGUUCAACCAAGUGGCCUACGCCUUCAGUAUGGCCGAACGCAUGCAACCGUUCCGGAAACUCCCACUGCAUGGGGUACGCUUCGAGUGGUCUCCGGAAUUGGAGAACAUUUUCCGCGAAUCAAAAGAGGAGAUCGUCCCUGGACUUGCAUCCGCAAGUCCAAGCCAACAUGCCUCGCCACGGACUGGUCAAAAGAGGGCGUUGGCUUCUGGUUGUUCCAGAAGCACUGUCAGUGCACGCCGGUCAGGCCCUUCUGCUGCGCUGAUGGAUGGAAGGUGACCCUAGUUGGCAGCAGGUUCACGCACGCGGCUGACAUCUGCGCCACUCGGAAUAACUGAACGCUGCCAACGGCUGGCGCCCUCUCAGCCCGCGACGCCGCCUGUCAUGGCCAUUUACCCCUUCCAGGCUGUGUGUUCAGACUUUUUCAUGCACAGGGGUGUACACUAUCUUGUGAUAGCUGACCGCUACUCGAACUGGCCAAUCAUCUCAAGGUCGACGGGUGGCGCCGCGGGUCUCAUAUGCCACCUACGCCGUGCCUUUGCCACGUACGGGACUCAGGAAGAGCCUGCCUCGGACGGGGGACCAGAGUUCACCUCCGCCGAGACCAGGUAUUUCCUUCACAGAUGGGGCGUGCACCACCGGUGGCUUUCCCCACAGCAACUGCCGCGCAGAGAUCGGGGUGAAGAGGAUGAAGCGGCUCAUCACUGACAAUACAGGCCCGGAGGGCGAACUCGACACCGACGCUGUGCAGAGGGCGAUACUCCAAUACCGUAAUACGCCGGACCCUGACACAAAGCUAUACCCGGUGAUGUGUGUCUUCGGCCGGCCCAUCUGCGACUUCAUCCCGAUUGCCCCCGGGAGGUACAGACCGCACGUAUCAUGGCGUGAGACGCUGACGGCAAGGAGGCCCUCCGCAAACGCCGUAUCCGCACAGCUGGCACUUGGGCGGAGCACACCAAACGCAUCCCAACUCUCGAGGUGGGGGACUUUGUCCGCGUACAGAACCAGACGGGACUUCCCCCCUAACAAGUGGGACAGGACGGGCAGUGUCGUUGAGGUGCGCUAGCACGAUCAGUACGUGGUCAAGAUUGACGGGUCGGGCAGGGUCUCAGCUCUGAAUUGCAGAUUCCUGCACAAGUUCUACCCGGUCCACAGCGACCGGCCCCCACCUCGAUCGAUCUAUGACAAUCUGGCAUCCCGCGUCGCUGUACCAGCACUUAUUGCAACGCCGCAGCUGCCUGGUCUUGCGAGCGGCCAAGUAAGGCCUGUGACGGAGUCAGGGCCCACUCCACCACCGGCGCUGCCACCUGCAGGCUCUCCCCGGCGCAGGAUGCAGCCCACCUCUAUCGUGCCAGUGGUGCCGGCCCAGGGCGUCCCUCGUACGCCCCGCCAGCCUCUGUGGCCCCUGUGGCCCCUCUCCCACGCCGCCCGACGUGUCGCCGGCGUCAGGCUUGCGCUGGUCCACCAGGAAGGCCGGUGUGCCUGCCUGGCAUAAGGACUUUCCUGUGGGGUAGUCUUUAAGGCCUAAAAAAAAAAAAGUUUGGUUCCUGUUGGUUGUCAGUUGAGGUCAUGGGUAGGUAGGGAAUUUAUUUUAUUUUUUUAUUUUAUUUUUUCCAGCGGCAGCGAAUGAUAGGUAGGUUGUUUUCAUUUAAAAACGAGAAAAUUCGCUCAUCCUUGUACAGAAUGAAGAGGUGCUGUACCAAAACGUAAUUAUAGUUUGCAUCAAAAAAAAAAUUUUUUUUUUUUUUUUUUUUUUAUAAAGCUCAUAAAAUAAUUUGGGUCGCACAUAAAUUGACAGGGUCGGUCGGAAACCGGAACCAAACACAUUUUUUUUUAGGCCUAAUGGGUUCUGUGGGCAUUGGGUUCAUGUUGGACUUUCCGCUCGUUUUUAUGGCACAUAGUGUGUACAACCGUUCGUUCGAUGCUGUUUUUUUUUAUCAGCCUUUGUGUUAGAGUGUUAAAGGCUCAGGGGGAGAUAGGGAAUAUUGCACUACGGUCCUCUAUGUUGUUGUACUACGGUCCUCUAUGUUGUUGCAUAUAGCGGAACAGGAAGUUAAUGACUCUAUUUAGAUGUAAACCUACCAGCACCUUCAGCUGCUCAUGACAUGUUUGGUUAUUGUCAUUUCACUGCUGUCGUUCAUUAAAGCAAGUGAACAAAUGGAAAGUUGUUCAUAUUAACAGCAGAGUAGCCUACGAAAAGAAUAGACUGCAAUAAUAUGAAUGCUUAAGAUAUUAAAACACAAUUGAUUAGGCCUAGGCCGACAUAUGCUUUAUCAGUCCUAAUCCUGAAUGCACUGUGCAUACAUUUUUUCACGGCAUUUCCCCCCCUGAAAUAAUUCCAAAUAUCAAAAAUCCAAAACAACUUGUGUGACAACUACAUUUAUCUUAAUGUGCUGAUCCUGCCCAUAUUGUUGGGCAGGAUGAAGUAGGCAAGAUGAAGUUGGAAUUUUAAAUUGCUGCAAUAAAUAAUGUUGUUGUUGACUUGGAACAUGUCUCUAUCUUUGCUGUUUAAAUCUAACAUAUGAGUAAUAUAUCGGCGGGAACCAGUGUUUUUGGUUGCGAAAUUGAGCCAGCUGGGCAUUCCGUGGUAUUGGAUGCGUUUUAAUAAAACACAUCCAAUACUAAUAUCCAAUAUAAUAAUGUCCGCUGGUGACGCCCCUGAGGCUAUAGUAGGCUAACGAUGCUCUUAGCAUCCUACGAGUACCCCUGGAGUCCUCGUUAGCUACGAGCAUUUUCACGACGUGCGUUACCAACAAUGCUUUCGGGAAACGUGUGAAAACUGUACGAUGCUCGUACGACGCACUUCACGACCCACUUAGGCCAACGAUUCUUUCGGGAAACUGGGCCCUGAGCAAGGUGCGGCUGAGUUGGGUUGAUGGAACGGCUUUAGCCUCAAGUAGAAGUUGGUGUUAGUUCUAACUGGGCUUAAUCAACUAAGCGCCGCUUUCGAUAGCAACUUUGAUGGAAUACCCCUCUGCAUGAUUCUUUAUUAUUAUUAUUAUUAUUAUUAUUAUUAUUAGGGGUCCAAGCCAACAGGUUGGAUCCCUAUUGUUUUUGUAAGGAUUUUUCUUCUUAUUAUUAUUAUACUUCCCGCCUUGAAAGUGGGUCCACAGCCCAAACCGUAAAUGGUGCACACGCGCCAAUUACAUGACUAGAACCAGGUCCGGCACCGCUACUCAGAUAACCAAAUCCAGACAUGCCGGCCUCUAGGUGGCGCUAUACCAAGGAGAAACACGUUUGGGGCUAUAGCUCCCACACCGAACCUCCCACAGUCAAAAACUUGUACCCACAUAUUCACUGGAGUCUGCUGCAUCUUUUGGCAUAGGCCACGCCCAUUUGCGUCAAUAAAUUUUUUUCGCAAAAUCGCGAAAACCGCUAAACUGUUUUUUCGCUACUGCUCCCACAUUUCUUGACCAAUCGACACCAAACUUUGCACACGACAUCGUCAGACGCACACAAAAAAGCACAUUUCUUGUCGCGUUGUGCCGGCGAAAUGCACACUUCUUGGACCCCUGCAUAACUGCUUGCAGUUCUAGUUAUUAUUAUUAUUAUAUUAUUAUUACCCCUCCUACUUAUUGUAUUUUGUAUACGUCCGGGUCACUUAAUGUACACACUUAUUGUAUGUCGUACUAAGUUAUUGUCUAUAGUUGUGUAGCAAUGUAGCAUCUUACUCUAGCUAGCUCUGUUGUGUACGGGGAUGGGCUAACUUAGUGAUUGUUAGUGCUUGGCACUUGCUUCUAUGAACAUCCUUAAUGUACCGACAUAGAUAUAUUGUGGUUUCUCUUUCUUCUGAAAAAUUGACUUAUUGUAUGUCACUCUGGAUAAAAGCAUCUGCUAAACGCCCUGAAUGAGAAUGUAAAUAUAUAAUAAUAAUAAUCUCUCAUCUCAUCUAAUCGUCAUCCGUUUAUCCGGGGUCGGGUCACGGGGGGAGCAGCUCAAGCAGGGGGCCCCAGACUUCCCUUUCCCGGGCCAUAUUGACCAGCUCUGACGGGGGGAUCCCGAGGCGUUCCCAGGCCAGUGUUGAGAUAUAAUCUCUCCACCUAGUCCUGGGUCUUCUCCGAGGUCUCCUCCCCACUGGACGUGCCUGAGGAGAGACCCCCUUACCCCAUACUCCCGCAGCACCUCCCACAGUUUCUCCCGGGGGACCCGGUUAUACGCCUUCUCCAGAUCCACAAAACACAUGUAGACCGGAUGGGCAUACUCCCAGGCCCCCUCCAGGAUCCUUGCGAGAGUGAAGAGCUGGUCCGUAGUUCCACGUCCGGGGCGAAAACCGCAUUGUUCCUCUUCAAUCUGAGGUUCGACGAUCGGCCGAACCCUCCUUUCCAGCACCUUGGAGUAGACUUUACCAGGGAGGUUGAGAAGUGUAUAAUUAUUAUUAUUAAUAAUCCACUGUUCAAACUGCUGCAUCCGACCAGGUGAUAACUUGAGAGGAGGUGUUAGGCUGCCAUGAAGGGACUGUUUACCCCGCCGUGCCUCCUCCUCUUCCUCCUCCUCCUCCUCCUCCCGGUCUCCUCUGCCACCUCCUUCUGGGCCAAGGAGAAGCCCAACAUCGUCCUCAUGAUGGUGGACGACCUGGGCAUCGGAGACCUGGGUUGCUACGGCAACAACACCAUUAGGUAACGCACGCAUUAGAGGUCGUGACAACUUUUAAAAUAAUAAUCAUAUAUAUGUGAGUGAGGGAGUGAGGGAGGGAUGGAGUGAGUGAGUGAAUGAGUUAGUGAGUUAGUGAGUGUUUUAGUGAUGAGGGAGUGCCCAAGUGAGUG
ensembl:lncRNA